CGGAGUCGCUGCUUGAGACCGUCAGUUCUUCCCCGUGUCGCCCCGCUCCUGUUUGAAUGUCCAGAAGGUUUAUCUGGGCGCCGCGGCUUGAACUCGCGCUCGGUAGCAGUCUUGCCAGCAGCAAGGGCAGCAGACAGGCGAACUGCGGCAAUAAGCUGGAGCGGGAGGUGCUGACGCUGGUCCACCGAGUGCCCUGAUAGGAAGGUCGACAGCUAGCGGAGCGAACCUCUUCCCGCCGUCGGACCCUCCUUGAUCGAGGCGGCACAGCGCAAGAUCGAGUCAGCGAGUCGGCGAGUCGGUUAGCCAGCAUGGGACACAGCGUGGGCCCUAAGUUCGCGGCGACGAGCAGCCAGAGCUUCGAGGCUAAGCCUGUCAAGAAGCCGGCGUUUACCGCCGCUCCGGUCAAGGGCCAGCAGGCGUCGGCCGCGGCCAAGCCGAAGGACAACGGCCCCUGGGGACCGCUGUUCAAGAACAAGGAGAACUUCAAGAGCAUGCACAUGUUCUAAGGAGGGCCGCGAGGAGCGCGCCGGAGCGUCGAGGACCGCUGCCGUGAGGACUGGUGCUCAGUGUCGCGCGGCUCAGCGCUCCGGCGGCGGCCGGCAUCGGCAGCAACGCGCACUGGCCCGGUGACAGCUAUCGGUGACGGUCCGGUGACGGGGCGCAGUGACGUGUUGGACAGCCGUCGGUGACUGGUUCGCGGCGAGUGACCCUGGCAAAUGUAUCGUCUGAUCGCCAGAAGAUAGGCAACGGCGUGGUGUGGCGAAGCGUCUUGCAUCAAGACGGCUUGUCCAUUUAUUGGUGGCUUUAAAUAAAGGCAAAUUUAUUUUGUGAGUUUUGUUGAUGUGAGAGCUCGGAUUUUGCCGCUCUGAAAGUGAGAUGAUCAUCAUGAAAUCGCCGACCGACGAAUACGUUCAUUUGCAACUGAGGGCAAUAUAAAUCUGCGAAUAUC